UUAAAAAUUCUUUGAGGGAUGAUUAGGAAGAUCAAGGAUUUUUUACAGUUUGAAGAUCUGUUGUCGAUGAUGGAUGAUUAUAUAUUAUGCCGAUGAUACAAAGUGUAACUAUACGAGCAAAUGGAGGCUAGUGUCCAACAACUAUAUGCUGUUAGCUUCUUUGGACAUUUGUUGAGGUUAAUCUGAACUCACCAAGUAUUUAUUAUGUCUUUUUUGUGUAAGUUUGUACUAUUAAUUGCUAGAAACUGAUGGAAAAACCUUGUAAUAAGAAUAAGUCUAAUGCCACAAUCAAAU
rnacentral:misc_RNA from 1 species